UGCUACCUUGUUACGACUUCACCCUAGUCAUCGAUUUCACCUUCGACGGCUCCAUCCUUACGGUUUGGUCACCGGCUUCGGGCGCCUCCGACUUCCAUGGUGUGACGGGCGGUGUGUACAAGGCCCGGGAACGUAUUCACCGCGACAUUCUGAUCCGCGAUUACUAGCGAUUCCAACUUCAUGUAGUCGAGUUGCAGACUACAAUCCGAACUGGGACGGUUUUUUUGGGGUUUGCUCCAGAUCACUCCUUAGCUUCCCUUUGUAACCGCCAUUGUAGCACGUGUGUAGCCCAGGUCAUAAGGGGCAUGAUGAUUUGACGUCAUCCCCACCUUCCUCCGAGUUGUCCCCGGCAGUCUCUCUAGAGUCCCCACCAUUACGUGCUGGCUACUAAAGAUAAGGGUUGCGCUCGUUGCGGGACUUAACCCAACAUCUCACGACACGAGCUGACGACAACCAUGCACCACCUGUCUCCAUUGUCCCGAAGGAAAGGAACGAUUAAGCUCCGAUCAAUGGGAUGUCAAG
rnacentral:rRNA from 1 species